GACGAACCGUGCAAACGUUGUUCGGAAUCACUGGGCAUAAAGGGCGCGUAGGCGGCCCGACAAGUCUGCGGUGAAAGCCUCCCGCUUAACGGGAGAAGGGCCGUGGAAACUGUCGGGCUCGAGGGAGACAGGGGCAGGUGGAACUUCCGGUGGAGCGGUGAAAUGCGUUGAGAUCGGAAGGAACUCCGGUGGCGAAAGCGGCCUGCUGGAUCUCUACUGACGCUGAGGCGCGAAAGCCAGGGGAGCAAACGGG
rnacentral:rRNA from 1 species